UUUAAUGAGAGUUUGAUCCUGGCUCAGGACGAACGCUGGCGGCGUGCCUAAUACAUGCAAGUGGAACGCAUGAUUGAUACCGGAGCUUGCUCCACCAUUAAUCAUGAGUCGCGAACGGGUGAGUAACGCGUAGGUAACCUACCUCAUAGCGGGGGAUAACUAUUGGAAACGAUAGCUAAUACCGCAUAACAGUAUUUAUCACAUGGUAAAUGCUUGAAAGGAGCAAUUGCUUCACUAUGAGAUGGACCUGCGUUGUAUUAGCUAGUUGGUGGGGUAACGGCUCACCAAGGCAUCGAUACAUAGCCGACCUGAGAGGGUGAUCGGCCACACUGGGACUGAGACACGGCCCAGACUCCUACGGGAGGCAGCAGUAGGGAAUCUUCGGCAAUGGGGGGAACCCUGACCGAGCAACGCCGCGUGAGUGAAGAAGGUUUUCGGAUCGUAAAGCUCUGUUGUAAGAGAAGAACGUGUGUGAGAGUGGAAAAUUCACACAGUGACGGUAACUUACCAGAAAGGGACGGCUAACUACGUGCCAGCAGCCGCGGUAAUACGUAGGUCCCGAGCGUUGUCCGGAUUUAUUGGGCGUAAAGCGAGCGCAGGCGGUUUGAUAAGUCUGAAGUAAAAGGCUGUGGCUUAACCAUAGUAUGCUUUGGAAACUGUCAAACUUGAGUGCAGAAGGGGAGAGUGGAAUUCCAUGUGUAGCGGUGAAAUGCGUAGAUAUAUGGAGGAACACCGGUGGCGAAAGCGGCUCUCUGGUCUGUAACUGACGCUGAGGCUCGAAAGCGUGGGGAGCGAACAGGAUUAGAUACCCUGGUAGUCCACGCCGUAAACGAUGAGUGCUAGGUGUUGGGUCCUUUCCGGGACUCAGUGCCGCAGCUAACGCAUUAAGCACUCCGCCUGGGGAGUACGACCGCAAGGUUGAAACUCAAAGGAAUUGACGGGGGCCCGCACAAGCGGUGGAGCAUGUGGUUUAAUUCGAAGCAACGCGAAGAACCUUACCAGGUCUUGACAUCCCAGUGACCGUCCUAGAGAUAGGAUUUUUCUUCGGAACACUGGAGACAGGUGGUGCAUGGUUGUCGUCAGCUCGUGUCGUGAGAUGUUGGGUUAAGUCCCGCAACGAGCGCAACCCCUAUUGUUAGUUGCCAUCAUUCAGUUGGGCACUCUAGCGAGACUGCCGGUAAUAAACCGGAGGAAGGUGGGGAUGACGUCAAAUCAUCAUGCCCCUUAUGACCUGGGCUACACACGUGCUACAAUGGCUGGUACAACGAGUCGCAAGUCGGUGACGACAAGCUAAUCUCUUAAAGCCAGUCUCAGUUCGGAUUGUAGGCUGCAACUCGCCUACAUGAAGUCGGAAUCGCUAGUAAUCGCGGAUCAGCACGCCGCGGUGAAUACGUUCCCGGGCCUUGUACACACCGCCCGUCACACCACGAGAGUUUGUAACACCCGAAGUCGGUGAGGUAACCAUUUGGAGCCAGCCGCCUAAGGUGGGAUAGAUGAUUGGGGUGAAGUCGUAACAAGGUAGCCGUAUCGGAAGGUGCGGCUGGAUCACCUCCUUU
rnacentral:rRNA from 2 species